rnacentral:rRNA from 1 species
UUACAAUUUCACACAGGAGAGUUUGAUCAUGGCUCAGGAUGAACGCUGGCGGCGUGCCUAAUACAUGCAAGUCGAGCGAACAGAUAAGGAGCUUGCUCCUUUGACGUUAGCGGCGGACGGGUGAGUAACACGUGGGUAACCUACCUAUAAGACUGGAAUAACUCCGGGAAACCGGGGCUAAUGCCGGAUAACAUGUUGAACCGCAUGGUUCUACAGUGAAAGACGGUCUUGCUGUCACUUAUAGAUGGACCCGCGCCGUAUUAGCUAGUUGGUGGGGUAACGGCCUACCAAGGCGACGAUACGUAGCCGACCUGAGAGGGUGAUCGGCCACACUGGAACUGAGACACGGUCCAGACUCCUACGGGAGGCAGCAGUAGGGAAUCUUCCGCAAUGGGCGAAAGCCUGACGGAGCAACGCCGCGUGAGUGAUGAAGGUCUUCGGAUCGUAAAGCUCUGUUGUUAGGGAAGAACAAAUGUGUAAGUAACUGUGCACAUCUUGACGGUACCUAACCAGAAAGCCACGGCUAA